GAUACGAGGCCCGAAUCCGCGCCCGCCAUGGCCGACAAAAUGGACAUGUCUUUGGACGACAUCAUUAAGCUGAACCGGAGCCAGCGAGGAGGCCGCGGCGGGGGCCGGGGUCGCGGCAGGGCCGGCUCCCAGGGCGGCCGCGGCGGCGCAGUGCAGGCCGCCGCGCGGGUGAAUCGAGGCGGCGGGCCUAUGAGGAACCGGCCCGCCAUCGCCCGCGGCGCCGCAGGCGGCGGCGGCAGGAACCGACCGGCACCAUACAGCAGACCGAAACAACUUCCCGACAAGUGGCAGCACGACCUAUUCGACAGCGGCUUCGGGGGUGGAGCCGGCGUGGAGACGGGUGGGAAGCUGCUUGUGUCAAACCUGGAUUUCGGAGUGUCAGACGCUGAUAUUCAGGAACUGUUUGCCGAGUUUGGAACGUUGAAAAAAGCUGCUGUGCACUAUGAUCGCUCUGGACGAAGUUUAGGGACAGCAGAUGUACACUUUGAACGGAAAGCAGAUGCCCUGAAGGCUAUGAAACAGUACAAUGGUGUCCCUUUGGAUGCAAGCUACAUCCCUCCCCUCCUUGAUCUCCUUCCGGAAGAUUCACUUCUGUGAAGCCUUCUCAGAACCGCCAUAGUACAACCUGAGUGCGGGGCUGUAGUCGUAAAGACAAAGGCCGCCCUAUGAACAUCCAGCUUGUCACAUCACAGAUUGAUACACAACGAAGACCUGCACAGAGCAUAAACAGAGGUGGCAUGACAAGAAACCGUGGUUCUGGCAGUUUUGGUGGUGGCGGCACCAGGAGAGGCACUCGUGGAGGCAGCCGGGGAAGAGGUAGAGGUACCGGCAGGAACUCAAAGCAGCAGCUUUCUGCAGAGGAGUUGGACGCACAGCUGGAUGCUUACAAUGCAAGGAUGGACACCAGCUAAACAACCAAGCAAAUCCGCACAAGUAACAGGACCCAGAAGCCUCGUCUUGACGCCUAGAGGGAGGGUUGGCAACUGGACUGUGCAGACAAUGGUGGAUUUGUUUUUGUUUGUUUCUUUUUUUUUUCCUGUUUUAAAUAGGAUCUAAAAAACUCAUGUAAAGGUUUUUUUUUCCCCCCUUUUUUUUUUUUUUUUAAUUCUGAAACAGACCUGUUUUGUACUGAGUUAUUUUGGGAUAAAUUUUACUGGUUGCUGUUGUGGAGAAGGUGGCAUUUUCACCUUUGCCAUAAUAAAAUAGAAAUGUGUGUA